rnacentral:lncRNA from 1 species
UCUAACAUCUUUUUUGUACCGCACAUUAGAAUCGUUUGGAUAGCUCAUUAUAACUAUCUAUGUCAUGCCCCGCGACCAACCGCCAAUUUGGACCGAGUCGCGGUGCCGCUAACAGACCGCCGAAUGGACCGGGGCUCCCCCUGUACGCAGACAGAGUCUCCCCUGUACGUUCUAGGCGUCGCAAUCCAAAGAAUCAACGAAUGUUCUAACUAGGAACGGAUAACAAUCCAGAUUGCAAAGGAAGUAUCAAAUACAUAAAACUACUGCUAUUACAAGCAUUCAUCGACUUAGAACAUCUCAGUUACAGUUUACAUUUUACUUCCAAAUUACAAUCACAUUAUAACAUCAUUUAUUUUACAAGUUUGAUACAUUUGAUUCCUUGCCUUCUAGUCCCCUAAGCUAGACUGCCUCAGGGUACUACUACCUCGGUCUCUGUGGUAGGGCGCUAUCUACUGUGUCACGCCCCGGGACCGGGGGAGGCCCUCCCGGUAGCGUGCCCAGACCCGCCAUAUGUCAACACAUAUAAGGCGUCUACAAUAAAAGCGGAAGUAAAAGCAAGUAAUAAAACAAGUAGAAGAAGUGAAAUAACUAGCAACUAAUGAUAUCAGAGCAAAUAUAGUUCUAUCAUCUAUACCAAGGUAAAGAAAUAAAGUUAGACAGUAAAAGGAAUACAAUAUCAGUCUCAAAAGUACAAGAAUGGUGGUCUCUAUACAUAUGCGGGUACAACUCUCAACCUCUCACAAAAAGAUAACACGAGAGGUAGACCACCUAUCGAACGAUCCCUCGGUAAGCACGCUAGCCCGAGGCGAUACCCUUUCCGCGAUCCCUGGCCUCUCCCUGCGUGGAAGGCUCUGAAAAACAUCGAGAAAAAGAGGGCGUGAGAACUAUAAUUUAUAGUUCCCAGUGGGCAAUUACUGACCUCAGCUCAUGCUCCACUAGGCCCCAAAAAUAAGGGUAAGCAACGAUAAUAAUAAUGAUAAGCAAUAAGGAGCAUGUAAUUAAACUGCUGAAAGAAAGCACAAUUAGAAUGCUAGUCUACGGUGUCUCAAGUAAACAUGAUGUCAACCCAAAUGUACAUCUAUCCUAUCCUUACAAUUAAGUCCAAUUGGCACUAGUUUAAUGUUGUUAACCUUCGUCAAUACAUGAUGUAGGUGUUCUAUCAUGGCAACCAAGUAUACUACAUGUCUCACACUAUGCUAAAAGCAUGUAAAUGUAAUCCAACUACUAAGUCUAUCUAGUAGUGAUCAUUCACUCUCAAACCGUGUCGAUUUCCAUUUCCAAUUAGGGACCUACCCAAGGUAGUCCAGCUUGUGCCGCCUAAGUGCCUGUGGUAGCCCAACAUCCCUACUCUUGGAAUGUGUCUGUCCCACUCGACCCCGUAGGCUUCUCAAUACCGCACGAGCGAACAUAGGUCGCAUAGGCCAACUCCGGAGUGCCGGCUUGUGGGGAGCGACCCUCACAAGCAUGUGCGAAUGAGCACAAAUGGCAAACAAGCAAGGUCAAAGUCUCAAGUACUCAAUCCUCAUGUCUCUAACAUGGUAUGGUCGCUAGUAUCCCGAAGAUCUAGUUCAAAGUCAUAAUGUGAGGUCCCAACACACACUUGCUUAGUGCCUCUUUAUGACACUUAAGCUCCACAACUAAUCAUGUUCCAAAUAGGACAUUAACAUUAAUGCUCACUAAGCCCCGGGCCCCAAUGCCUCUUCAUGACAUUGGCCCAAUCUCACAUAUCCUCUAAGUCUCUAAGCCUCUCUAGGCUUCCAAAAAUCCCUAAUGUCAUAACUGGUAUAUAGUUUGAAUGCAUGAAAGCAAGGUUCGUUUUCAUAAUAGGGAUUGUAAUUUCAAGUCUCAACUAGAAUGCUAGGCCACACAUGCAUGCUCUCUACUAUAUAGAGGUCCCAAAAUUUACUACACAUAACCUAUGCAUGUUAAGCAUUCUAAAAUUCAUAAUAAAUACAUUUAACAUGAAAAUGCAAGAAUUUCAACUUUACGAAACAUUUAACACCAAAUAUGAGCAUUUCUCAUAUUGUAUGCUAGGCCAAACCCACCGAACCGUCGCGUGCUCCUUCGAUUCGUCGAACGGAGUUGUCCACGAGCCUCAAGAUACCCUAAAAGUGAUCAGCGAAGAGAUACGAGAGUAUUACGACCAACCGUAAGAUCACACAUUAACCUAGAAGCAAAAAGGGUCAACAUUUACCUCAAGAGUAGAAAUCUCUCCCAAAGCUCCAAAAGAGAGCUAGAACCCUUCCAAUCCAAGCCCUAGGAAGGUUCUAAUCCAAUCAAUUUAGCCCCAAAAGCCCUAGAUCAAAAAUGCCCAAAAUCAAACCCUAAAUCUCAUUUCUAGGGUUAAAACAAGCAAAAAGCUCCAAAACUAAGAUCUAGAGGGAGGAACCUUGCCACAUACCUCUAGGAUGCUCCAAUCCAAGCUCAAAAUCUUCUAGGGUUGAAGAUUGAUCCACCACAAAGCUCCAAAAGCAAGCUCCAAGCCUCCAAAGGUGGGAAAUAAGGAAGAAGAUGGUGCUCCAAGCAAGCUCUUCUCCUCUUCUUCUCCUUCUUCUCCUUCUCCCUCUCUUCUUCUCUCUCUAGAAUGCAAAGGGUUGAGAGAAAAUGAGAGUGAGAGGAGAGGAGAGGCUGCCUAUAGCCUCUAAGGUAACAAAAUCCAGUUAGGCCCCUCAAAAACCCAAAAUUACAUCAGCCCGGACUGGGCAGUUUUCGCCCAGAGGGACCGGUCUCUCCCCAGCAGGGACCGGUCUCUCGCUGCGAACCCGAAAAACCAGCGUUCGGGAACCGGUCUCUCCCUGCGCGGGACCGGUCUCUCACUGCGAAGACGCGUUCGGGAACCGGUCUCGCCUGCCAGGGACCGGUUGCCUCAGGCUGCCUCAACACUGCUCACUGAGGGGACCGGUCUCUCCUUCCAGGGACCGGUCCCCGAGAGUGAAAACUCUCAGGACUUGUCCAGAAUUCCAGUUUUCGAACUUUUCGGGUCGGGGAACAUUUUACAACCCUCCACCAAGUGUGGAAAAGCUCGAAAUACAACCAAACACUCGAACCUCGCAAUUUACAAAGGUCCAGUGUGUUACAUACUGAGCUACGCCCUCGCCUCGCGCCACCGCGCAGCACACGUACAACCUGAAAAC